UACAGAGGUCUCAAGCGUUGUUCGGAUUCAUUGGGCGUAAAGGGUGCGUAGGCGGCGCGGUAAGUCGGGUGUGAAAUCUCGGAGCUUAACUCCGAAACUGCAUUCGAUACUGCCGUGCUUGAGGACUGGAGAGGAGACUGGAAUUUACGGUGUAGCGGUGAAAUGCGUAGAUAUCGUAAGGAAGACCAGUGGCGAAGGCGGCUCACUGGACCGGAACUGACGCUGAGGCGCGAAAGCGUGGGGAGCAAACAGG
rnacentral:rRNA from 1 species